CUCUCUCUCUCUCUCUCUCAAUGUUAACUACUAUUUCAAGGAUGAAGUCUCUUGUAUCUCCACCAUUUUCACCCAUUUUCAAGGCCACACCUUCUUCCCUCUUCUUCUCUUUACCCUCUAAUUUCAAAUUUCUCUCCUUUCCCACUUCUCUCACAAGUUCAAUUUCUCUCUCCCUUAAUCCUCCUCCUAUGCUGUCAACUUUUCCAAUUCAAAAUCGAUGUCUUCACUCCAAUUCCUCUCCCUCUUUUUCUUCCUCCUCCGGAGAGAUUCACGUUAUAGUUGGCCCCAUGUUCGCUGGAAAAACCACCACGCUUCUCCGUCGCAUCCAGUCUGAAAGCGGCAAUGGCAGGUUUAUUUUAUCUACCUGUCCUUUGUGUUGAUAUGGGAUUUUGUUUUUAUUAAAAGUUCUAUUGUUUUUCGUUUAUGUAAUGUGAUUUUUUAUUCUCUUGUUUGUUUUUCUUAUGCGAUCAGGUUUGGCUUUUACUUCUUUUGCAUUGUUGAUGUAGUUGCGUUAGUAUAUAAAUCUCAGUUAUUAUUUGGAUAUCCUUUUUAUUGUCGUUGUUGCUUUUAGCUUAGUGGAUGAGGUUUGGUCAAUGUUUCUGGUUGAUGGAAUGGGAUUAUCAGUGGUUAGAAAUUGCCAGCCUUCAGGUCAGAAGUAUGCUUCGAUAAACGUUAAAAGGUCUUUGUUUCUUGGGGAGAAUGAGUGAAGCUGUGAGGCUAUUAUGGUGUAUAGGGUUCAAAGUGGACCAUGGUACGUAUGCCCUUCUGUUGCAAGAAUGCAAAUUCAUUAAACAGUAUAAGAAGGGGAUAAGAAUCCAUUCACAUAUGGUUAUUGUUGGGUAUAUUGCCAAUGAAUACCUGAAGACUAAGUUGUUGAUAUUGCAAUAGGGACAUGAAGAAAUUUGCAUCACUGUUUAGAGCUUGUGCUGCUUUAGCAACACUGGAGCAGGUAUGAAAUCCCAUGGUGUCACACCUAAGAGAAAAUGUUGUAGUCAAUAGUGCCCUCAUAGAUAUGUACUUCAAAUGCAGCAAUCUUUCUGAUCGACAUAAGGUCUUCAGUAAAUCAUUAAACAGGAAUGUUGUUACCUGGACUUCAUUGAUAUCUGGGUAUGGCCAACGUGGAAGAGUUUCAGAGGUUUUAGAAUCAUUUCGUAGGAUGAAAAGUGAAGGUCUCAGACCAUAUUACGUUACUUUUUCUUGGUGCUUUCUGCUUGUAGUCAUGCAGGUUCAAUUGAUGAAGCUUGGGAGUCAAUGAAGAGAGAUUAUGGCAUCCAACCUAGAGGGCAACACUAUGCAGCAAUGGUCGAUCUUUUAGGUCACGCUGGCAGGUUACAGGAGGCUUAUGAUUUUGUUUUGGAGGCACCUUGUAAAGAACACUCAGGUGUAUGGGACGCUUUGCUUGGGGCUUCUAGAAUUCAUGAAGACAUGGACCUGGUAAAUCAUGCAGCUAAGAAAUACUUGAAAUUGGAUCCAGAAAAUGCUGGAAAGUAUUUGGUCUUGUCCAAUACCUACGCCACAUUUGCGUUCUGGGACAAUGUUGCACAGGUUAGGAGUAUGAUGAGAGAUUCAGGAAUAAUGAAGGAACCUACUUAUAGCAGGAUUGAAGUUCAAGGGGAGGUCCACUGCUUUCUAAUGGGUGAUAAAUCUCAUAGAAAAUAUGAGGAGAUAUGUAGGACAAUUAUCAACAUGAUGUGCAUUUUAAGAGAUGCUGGCUAUGUUCCUGAUAUAAGUGACCAUUAAGACAUGUAGAAGAUUGAUAUGCUUUACAUUUUCAGUCCAAAAUCUCAGCACUGCUAUUGGCUGAGCUUCCCAUUCGAUUUUAGGGCUUAGGUUGAAUAUAUAUAUA
rnacentral:misc_RNA from 1 species